GGCGUAUUUUGCGACGGCGGAGCUCGACCGCCCAUUCAAACGAUGACGGCGUUCAUCGACGUUCAUCGACGAUCAUCGUGAUGUCUAUGGGGUCGAGCCGAUCUGCCGGGUCCUGUAGAUCGCCCCG
rfam:Lutibaculum baratangense AMV1 contig00022, whole genome shotgun sequence.